CGUCGAGCACGCGAGACUUACCUGGUCUUGACAUCCACGGAAGUUUUCAGAGAUGAGAAUGUGCCUUCGGGAACCGUGAGACAGGUGCUGCAUGGCUGUCGUCAGCUCGUGUUGUGAAAUGUUGGGUUAAGUCCCGCAACGAGCGCAACCCUUAUCCUUUGUUGCCAGCGGUCCGGCCGGGAACUCAAAGGAGACUGCCAGUGAUAAACUGGAGGAAGGUGGGGAUGACGUCAAGUCAUCAUGGCCCUUACGACCAGGGCUACACACGUGCUACAAUGGCGCAUACAAAGAGAAGCGACCUCGCGAGAGCAAGCGGACCUCAUAAAGUGCGUCGUAGUCCGGAUUGGAGUCUGCAACUCGACUCCAUGAAGUCGGAAUCGCUAGUAAUCGUGGAUCAGAAUGCCACGGUGAAUACGUUUCCCGGGCAA
rnacentral:rRNA from 1 species